rnacentral:rRNA from 1 species
UUCGGAGGUACUCGAGUGGCGAACGGGUGAGUAACACGUGGGCAAUCUGCCCUGCACUUCGGGAUAAGCCUGGGAACCUGGGUCUAAUACCGGAUAGGACCUCAAGACGCAUGUCUUCUGGUGGAAAGCUUUUGCGGUGUGGGAUGGGCCCGCGGCCUAUCAGCUUGUUGGUGGGGUGACGGCCUACCAAGGCGACGACGGGUAGCCGGCCUGAGAGGGUGUCCGGCCACACUGGGACUGAGAUACGGCCCAGACUCCUACGGGAGGCAGCAGUGGGGAAUAUUGCACAAUGGGCGCAAGCCUGAUGCAGCGACGCCGCGUGGGGGAUGACGGCCUUCGGGUUGUAAACCUCUUUCACCAUCGACGAAGGUCCGGGUUUUCUCGGAUUGACGGUAGGUGGAGAAGAAGCACCGGCCAACUACGUGCCAGCAGCCGCGGUAAUACGUAGGGUGCGAGCGUUGUCCGGAAUUACUGGGCGUAAAGAGCUCGUAGGUGGUUUGUCGCGUUGUUCGUGAAAUCUCACGGCUUAACUGUGAGCGUGCGGGCGAUACGGGCAGACUAGAGUACUGCAGGGGAGACUGGAAUUCCUGGUGUAGCGGUGGAAUGCGCAGAUAUCAGGAGGAACACCGGUGGCGAAGGCGGGUCUCUGGGCAGUAACUGACGCUGAGGAGCGAAAGCGUGGGGAGCGAACAGGAUUAGAUACCCUGGUAGUCCACGCCGUAAACGGUGGGUACUAGGUGUGGGUUUCCUUCCUUGGGAUCCGUGCCGUAGCUAACGCAUUAAGUACCCCGCCUGGGGAGUACGGCCGCAAGGCUAAAACUCAAAGGAAUUGACGGGGGCCCGCACAAGCGGCGGAGCAUGUGGAUUAAUUCGAUGCAACGCGAAGAACCUUACCUGGGUUUGACAUGCACAGGACGCGUCUAGAGAUAGGCGUUCCCUUGUGGCCUGUGUGCAGGUGGUGCAUGGCUGUCGUCAGCUCGUGUCGUGAGAUGUUGGGUUAAGUCCCGCAACGAGCGCAACCCUUGUCUCAUGUUGCCAGCGGGUAAUGCCGGGGACUCGUGAGAGACUGCCGGGGUCAACUCGGAGGAAGGUGGGGAUGACGUCAAGUCAUCAUGCCCCUUAUGUCCAGGGCUUCACACAUGCUACAAUGGCCGGUACAAAGGGCUGCGAUGCCGUAAGGUUAAGCGAAUCCUUUUAAAGCCGGUCUCAGUUCGGAUUGGGGUCUGCAACUCGACCCCAUGAAGUCGGAGUCGCUAGUAAUCGCAGAUCAGCAACGCUGCGGUGAAUACGUUCCCGGGCCUUGUACACACCGCCCGUCACGUCAUGAAAGUCGGUAACACCCGAAGCCAGUGG